UGGGGAAUCUUGCGCAAUGGGCGGAAGCCUGACGCAGCGACGCCGCGUGCGGGAAGAAGGCCUUCGGGUUGUAAACCGCUUUCAGGAGGGACGAAGCCACUCGGGUGAAUAGCCCAGAGGGUGACGGUACCUCCAGAAGAAGCCCCGGCUAACUACGUGCCAGCAGCCGCGGUAAUACGUAGGGGGCUAGCGUUGUCCGGAUUCAUUGGGCGUAAAGCGCGUGUAGGCGGCCAGGUAGGUCCGAUGUGAAAACUGGAGGCCCAACCUCCAGCUGUCAUUGGAAACCAUCUGGCUAGAGUCCGGAAGAGGAGAGUGGAAUUCCUGGUGUAGCGGUGAAAUGCGCAGAUAUCAGGAAGAACACCGAUGGCGAAGGCAGCUCUCUGGGACGGUACUGACGCUGAGACGCGAAAGCGGUGGGGAGCGAACAGGAUUAGGAUACCCUGGUAGUCCACGCCGUAAACGAUGGCGCUAGGUGUGGGCGGUGUCGACUCCGU
rnacentral:rRNA from 1 species